rnacentral:rRNA from 1 species
GGAAUAUUGGUCAAUGGGCGCGAGCCUGAACCAGCCAAGUAGCGUGAAGGAUGACGGCCCUAUGGGUUGUAAACUUCUUUUAUAUGGGAAUAAAGUUUGGUAUGUAUACCAUUUUGUAUGUACCAUAUGAAUAAGGAUCGGCUAACUCCGUGCCAGCAGCCGCGGUAAUACGGAGGAUCCGAGCGUUAUCCGGAUUUAUUGGGUUUAAAGGGUGCGUAGGCGGGCUUUUAAGUCAGCGGUAAAAAUUCGGGGCUCAACCCCGUCCGGCCGUUGAAACUGGGGGCCUUGAGUGGGCGAGAAGAAGGCGGAAUGCGUGGUGUAGCGGUGAAAUGCAUAGAUAUCACGCAGAACCCCGAUUGCGAAGGCAGCCUUCCGGCGCCCUACUGACGCUGAGGCACGAAAGUGCGGGGAUCGAACAG